ACAAAUGGCGACCGUGACGUAACAAAUGGACCUACAUGACCAGAUGAUACGUUUAAUUAUGCUGCAAAAUCGAUUGAGAAGGCAGCAACGUCGAUGGUAUGUAGAACCAAGGGGCACGCUGGUACGUCAUCACAGCAUGUGACUAAAACGGACCAAUCACGAGAGAUGAUCUCCGCGGCGUUCGACGCACAGCAACUAUUUUUGUUGGGUGCGCGGCAAGCUACGCAGAGGUGCUGCGCGGGGCAAUUCGUCGGUCACGGGAUGCCAUGCGGGCGACCACGGGAGUAUAAAGAGGCCUUUAGGGAGCUGAUUCGCAUUGGACCUAAACACCAGCGUGGGGCUAAAAACACUAGCUACUCAGAUAUAGUGAUAUAUGGCGACUCCAAUGAUACAAGGAUGAUGCAAUCAGAGAUUACAAAGUGGAACAUAGCCAGGAUAUCUCGCCAGAAAGAUGUGUCAGCAUCGAGUAAUUGUUUCUGGCCCCUUGCCUGCGAGACGGAAUGAUACGAGGUUUAGCAGAUUAUUCUCGCUUAACCGGUGGCUGGCUAGCUUCUGUAGCGAACAGGGACUGGACUUUGUAGCUAAUUGGACUUCAUUUUGGAGGACUCCCGGCUUGAUAAGGGGGGACAGCCUUCACCCUCACGGGGAGACUGACUCGAACCUGUUUGAUUGAGAACUUGCCCAGCUGUUCAUUUCGGAUACAGAAGAUGAGGACUUUGAUGGAUUUGUGGAUGCGGAUUGAUCAAAAAAUAACAGAGAGGGCUAGGUGAUGUUGACCGAAUCUGAGGGUGUUGCUGUUUGGGUUCUGCACUGACCAACUGGGACAAGAUCUGAGGUGGACCACUUCCCGCGGAGUCGUUGCCACCGAAAGAGUCUACCCUGUGCCACCUUUUCUCUUUAAAUGGACUCUUUAUGCCAUCUUAAUUAACAUUGUACAGCACCGGACUAUGUGAUAAAUGUUGUCCACUCGACAUCCAUUGCAGCCGGGUCAUCCUUGAAGGGGGAUCCCCACCAUCUGCGGUCCCUUUUCAAAGUUUAUUUAUAUUCCCCCCCCCAAAAAAGUUUUGAAUUGUUCCUUGCCCGAUU